CAUUCGAUUUUCACCAUAUCUAACGUUCCAGUGAGUACCCGUAGAAGCCCUAUAUUUGGUGUAUCAAGCCCAAAAAUAGGGCCGAUUCCAAACUUUGAUUUACUCACUUAGACACCCCCGGAGAAGAAAGGAAGAAACAAUCCUUGUAAUGUUAGUCCUAUAGUAGUUGAAAUCAAAUCAACUCCUCGAAAAGAUACCAAAAGGAAGGGGAAAGAGACGUCAACUAGUAAGUCUAAAAAUGUCAUUGGUGACUCUGAUUUCGAAGAAGCAUCCUAAAACAAAACAAAAAAAGUAAGGUUGCGAUUGGUGAAAUAUCAAAGAAGAAUAAAGUCAAGCAAGCCCAAAGAUCAAAGAAGAAGAAGAAAAACAACUCGACUAAGAAGGUCCGCAAAGAUCUUCAAUCAUUAGACAAAAAGGUUGGUGAACAGUUUAAUGACAUGAAGACCUACAUGGACAAGUCGAUUAUGAAUUUACUUAAAGAUAUCAAAUUCAUGCUUGGCAAGCAAACUGAAACAGAGGAAGCUAAGGGGUGUGGCAGUGUUAAGGAUAAUAUGGAAGACCCAAAGACAAGCAACAAGGAGGUUGAUUUUGAUGAAAAAAUAGGUGAUUUUGCGGUUGGUGGGGAAGAUGGAGGUGACUGAAUAUCCGGUCAGAUAGGAGUACAUGCUGAAAAAAUGAGUGAUUUUGCGGUUGGUAGGUAGGAUGGAGGUGACCGAAUAUCUGGUCAGAUAGGAGUAGAUGCAUCUACUUUGAAGAAUAGAAUUAAUGCUUCUAUUUCAGUUGGUGACCAAGUUGUAUAUGGUGAAGCAUGUAAUAAACAGAAAGUUAACGUAGAAGAAUUGAAGAGGCAUCCUGAUGAUGCUCCUAUUUCAGCAUGUUGAUGUCAUUAUGUAUUACUUGAGGAAAAAGGCUAAGUAUGGGCCAAAUAAUGGAGUCAUAUAUGUAACAAUUGACUAUUUUUUCAAGUCGUGGGUUGAGUUGAUCCACUAGCAGUUUAAGCAAAAGAAUUAUGACCCCAGUAUUAUCACUUCAGAACGUGAUGUGGCACAAGUUAUCCGUGGAUAUAAGAUUCUUGCAAAUAUCGGUUGGGAUAAAGUGGAUUAUGUGAUUAUACUGAUUAAUGUAGGCAUGAAAUUUCAUUGGGUCGUCUUUUAUCUAUAAAAAAGAGGUGUCUUUAUGUCUAUGAUUCACUCCCGGGGGGUAAAGUGCACACUUGUGGUUACAAAUAUUGUUGAAAAACUGGCAAUGAUGGUACCCCUCUUCUUCAACAGUAUCAAAUUUUAUGGCAAAAGGGAUGACAUAGACUGGAAAAAUGAACCAGCCUACAUUGGGAAGGGAGUUUCUGAUCCUUUGGAUUAUAUGUUAAUGCAAAACUUGCCAGAACAAGAUCAUGCAUCAAAUGAUUGUGGAGUCUAUGUAUGUGCAUUUGCUGAAUAUAUCAGUGAUGGCAUCUUCAAUAUCCCGAAGGCCACCUUCAAUCAUAAUCUUAACCAUAGUUGAUAUGCUGCCCUACUGUGGGAUUACGCAAGGCAAAAGCAGGAUGCUGGAGCUAUUAGUGAGAGUGAAGUCACUGGAUUUGUUAUCGCAAAAUUAGGUGGGCCAAAAAUUUGCAAGGAACCUGUACCACAGAGGGAAAAAUUACCGAGACCUAAACGAAAAGUGAAAAACUAAUUUUUUGAGUUACUUGUUUUUGGCUGGUUAUGACACAUUGGUGACUGGUUUGUGAAAAAGUAAUUUUAGGUUCUAGUGUUUGAUGGAAAUGUAGUAGUUGUUGGUGACUGGAUCUAUGUU